AGUUCCCAGAUAGCAGCUGACUCUGGGCCGGAUCCGCCUCCAAACCGGCAGAUCCGUGUAACAGUCACCCCCGUUUUACUGCCCCAUUCCAGAUACGGCCCGCAUGUAGUCUGUGUACAUCGGGAGUAGGCGUGAACAUCCAUCAGUCGGCGGAAUCAUAAUAGUUCUGGCCCGGACUCGUCGGAACGAGCGCGCGAAUUGUUUCCUUUUUUUUUUUUUAACCGGUUCAUUCCAGAUCAGAAGUCAGUCGGCGGAAUCGUUGUUGUUCUGGCCCGGGGCCGUUGGAACGAGCGCGUGAACUGUUGGUCAUUUGGAUCUUCGGACUGCAAGCUCCGUGGAAAGAGUUUAUAACGAUAUUUUCUUCACCCCUGGCUGCGAGAGCCCCGGAUUAUUAGGAGGCUGUACGGAAGAACCAAGUUGCUAGCAGCGCAUCGGACAACGAGAUUAACCAGCACGCCAUCCGCUGGUUCAACCCGGCCUCUGACCGCAGAGGUGGCCGCAAAGAACGUGCCAUGGCCAGAGAUGCAUUAACCAUGGUAAAUUGUAGAUAAAUCAUUGUGCUAGUCUUUUGUAGAAACAUUUGUUUUGUGUUUAACUUUGCAAAUUGUUGUUAAUAGCAU